rnacentral:rRNA from 1 species
GGGGAAUAUUGCACAAUGGGGGAAACCCUGAUGCAGCAACGUCGCGUGAGUGAUGACGGUCUUCGGAUUGUAAAGCUCCGUCUUUUGGGACGAUAAUGACGGUACCAAAGGAGGAAGCCACGGCUAACUACGUGCCAGCAGCCGCGGUAAUACGUAGGUGGCAAGCGUUGUCCGGAUUUACUGGGCGUAAAGGAUGUGUAGGCGGAUACUUAAGUGAGAUGUGAAAGCUCCGGGCUCAACCUGGGGACUGCAUUUCAAACUGGGUAUCUAGAGUGCAGGAGAGGAAAGCGGAAUUCCUAGUGUAGCGGUGAAAUGCGUAGAGAUUAGGAAGAACAUCAGUGGCGAAGGCGGCUUUCUGGACUGUAACUGACGCUGAGGCAUGAAAGCGUGGGGAGCAAAC